rnacentral:misc_RNA from 1 species
ACAAACUUGGUCAUUUAGAGGAAGUAAAAGUCGUAACAAGGUUUCCGUAGGUGAACCUGCGGAAGGAUCAUUAUUGAAUAAACUUGGUGGGUUGUAGCUGGCUUCUUGGAGCAUGUGCACGCCUAUCAUCUUUAUCUAUCAUCCACCUGUGCACCCUUUGUAGUCUUGUGAAGUGAAAUGGGCAAUUUGUCGAAUUGCGUGAAAGCGCGACUCUCUCCAAAGUGCUUCUGAUCAUUUCUUUAGACUAUGUCUUUUCAUAUACCAUGUAGUAUGUUACAGAAUGUAUCAAUUGGCACUCUAUGCCUACAAAACUCUAUACAACUUUCAGCAACGGAUCUCUUGGCUCUCGCAUCGAUGAAGAACGCAGC